ACUCACACAACUCAUUCUCAUUCCCAUUAUCAUCUCUCCCACAACCCUAGCAACCACUUAACCCUAACCCAUCUUCUUCCUCAUUCUCCAUCCUCUCCACCUCCUUUCUCUAUUAAUCAGCUAGCCUUCCAUCUCCAAUCUCCCUCAAGCAAUCUCAUCUCCACAAAAACCAAACCCAAAAUCCCUAGUCAUCCUCUUUAUCCUCUCUUCUUCAGGCUAUGAGCAAGAAGAAAGAAGAAGAAGAAGAUCAGUUUGGCAAAAAAAAAAAAAAACAAAAAAAAAACAAUGAAGAAGAACCUGUAGAGCUCACAUUCAGUCAAGGUAGAACCCCCUCUCUCUAUCUCACCGAACCCAUCUCUCCACUCACCUUCCCCCAUCAACCACUGAAUCCCAUCUCCACUGCCACCUUCUUCUUCUCCACUAUCUCAUAAUUCCUCCAUUACUCUCCUCUCAUCCAUCUAAAAAACCCCAACCGAACCCUUCUCUCCUUCACUCUCUCCCAAGAACCUCCAUAACCAAAUCAUUUUCUCUCAUCUUCAUCCUGUUCCUUACACUAUCAAACCUAAACCAAAUCGUCAUCUAUCCCCUUCAUUCAGUCCAAAUAACCCCAUCAAAAAAGAGAGAAAAGCAAGGAGACAAGGGACUUUCAUUCGACCAAGAGAGGCUUAACUCAAGUUUGGAAUAUUAACAAUCCAGUUCAUUGCAGCCCAAUAAUCCACUCAAUCAAAGGUUAUAUAGAGGAAAAAAUAGUGUGAAUCGUUGGAAGAUUUGAAUGGAAAUUACAUGUCUUUGUGACGCCUUAGCUAGCUGAAGUUGCCACGUGAUUUUCCUUUGUGGCCAGUAACUUCAGACCACGUUGACAUACGUCACCACAACCGCAUCACGAAGAGGCCUCACAAGGAAGCAGAGUCCCAUAUGGAUAAGGAGACACGGCUUGUUGGGAAGAGUGGGACCUUCCAAGAACCUCGAUGGGCGACUUCUUCCCGACAACCCCACGGACCUCAUCUGACUACAACACGAAUGUUCAUUCUAUAUAAAGACAUCUCUCCCUUAAGAUAAGCUCUCUAUGAUUUAGCACACAUUACUUUCCUCAGUACUUUUCCGUGAAAAAUUCGU